rnacentral:rRNA from 1 species
GACGAACGCUGGCGGCGUGCCUAAUACAUGCAAGUCGAGCGAACAUUUGAGAGCUUGCUCUCAAAUGUUAGCGGCGGACGGGUGAGUAACACGUGGGCAACCUGCCUAUAAGACUGGGAUAACUUCGGGAAACCGGAGCUAAUACCGGAUAAUUCACAUCUACUCAUGUAGAUGUGCUGAAAGACGGUUUCGGCUGUCACUUAUAGAUGGGGCCCGCGGCGCAUUAGCUAGUUGGUGAGGUAACGGCUCACCAAGGCCACGAUGCGUAGCCGACCUGAGAGGGUGAUCGGCCACACUGGGACUGAGACACGGCCCAGACUCCUACGGGAGCAGCAGUAGGGAAUCUUCCGCAAUGGACGAAAGUCUGACGGAGCAACGCCGCGUGAGUGAU